AGUGAACGCUGGCGGUAGGCCUAACACAUGCAAGUCGAACGGCAGCACAGUAAGAGCUUGCUCUUACGGGUGGCGAGUGGCGGACGGGUGAGGAAUACAUCGGAAUCUACUUUUUCGUGGGGGAUAACGUAGGGAAACUUACGCUAAUACCGCAUACGACCUACGGGUGAAAGCAGGGGAUCUUCGGACCUUGCGCGAUUGAAUGAGCCGAUGUCGGAUUAGCUAGUUGGCGGGGUAAAGGCCCACCAAGGCGACGAUCCGUAGCUGGUCUGAGAGGAUGUCGACCAACCUGGGAAGUGGGCACCGUCCCAGCCUCCGCGGGGGGGCGGCGGGGGGGAUUGUUGGAGAAGGGGCGCAAGCCUUCUCCAGCCACACGGCGGGGGGGAAGAGGGCUUUGGGGUUGUAAACCCUUUUUGUUGGGAAAAAAAACCAGCGGUUGACACCCCCGCUUUUGUGGCGGUCCCCAAAAAAGAAGCCCCGCCUACCUUCGUG
rnacentral:rRNA from 1 species